AUUAGGCAGCAGUGAGGAAUUUUGCGCAAUGGCCGCAAGGCUGACGCAGCAACGCCGCGUGGGUGAAGAAGGCCUUCGGGUCGUAAAGCCCUGUCAGGUGGGAAGAACGACACGGGGAGGAAUAUGCUCUGUGAGUGACGGUACCACCAGAGGAAGCACCGGCUAACUCCGUGCCAGCAGCCGCGGUAAUACGGAGGGUGCGAGCGUUAUUCGGAAUUACUGGGCGUAAAGCGCGUGCAGGCGGCCAACCAAGUCUGAUGUGAAAGCCCUGGGCUUAACCUGGGAAGUGCAUUGGAAACUGUUUUUCUUGAGUACUGGAGAGGAAGGGGGAAUUCCCGGUGUAGAGGUGAAAUUCGUAGAGAUCGGGAGGAAUACCAGUGGCGAAGGCGCCCUUCUGGACGGUUACUGACGCUGAGACGCGAAAGCGUGGGGAGCAAACAGGAUUAGAUACCCUGGUAGUCCACGCUGUAAACGAUGAGCACUAGGUGUAGCGGGUACUCAUUCCUGCUGUGCCGCAGCUAACGCGUUAAGUGCUCCGCCUGGGGACUACGGUCGCAAGACUAAAACUCAAAUGAAUUGACGGAAU
rnacentral:rRNA from 1 species